rnacentral:sRNA from 1 species
GUAAAUAAGGAAAGCAAUUUAAAUAUAAAUGCAAAUAAUAAUGUUAAUGCAAAUAAUGCAAAUUCUGCCUCAAAGAAAGUGUAGAUCAAGUAGAGGGUAGACAAAA